UGUUAGGGUAGCAGACUCCCCAGAACAGUAGUGGAUGUUAUUAGCUCUCGCUCAACCAAGGUUCUUCCUAUGGCUCUGUAGCCCUAGAGACCCUCUCUUGCUUCACACAAUGGUGCUCCCUAGGCAGCAGAGCCCUGUGGGGAGGCACAGUGGGUGGAAGUGCUAGUCUGUGUGCCUUUGACCAGCCUCUACCUCUCCAACUGUAAAGAGGCACCGUGGAGGCUUGUGAUAAGUAGAACACACUGAAUCAGCAUUAGACUUAAGUAGAGGGCUGGGGAAACUCCUGAAAGCAGAUGCUGCUUCAAGUCCAUGGUGUUAGGCAGAACCCCUGGAGGCAGGCCCUAGGCUUGGAGUGGGGAACAGGCUCUGAUUAAUUCACAAGGAGGUUUUAAGGAGCAGCAGGGGUCAAGAAGCUCUCUAAGGGCUUUUCUGUCACACACUCGGGGUGUCUUGGGUUGCAGGGAGGAGGGAGGCCUCGACAACUCCCCUCCCACAGCUGCCACACUGAGCAUGCCAGCUAAACUAUAGGUCAUUUUCCCAGGGUUAGAAAAUUACUUUGGGGUUUCCGGCAUUGUCUGAAUUCCUACUGGGACACUGCUCCUGUGGUAGGAGUCUGCCUGUCCACACCCCUCUGCCUUCCCCUCCCCUCUCUCUGACACCCCAACUGCCCUCUGGGUUGGUUGACUCCAUGUGACAAAGUAACAAUGCAGGCUGUGGGAUGGGCACAAACCCCAAAGCAUUCCACUGUGCUAAGCCUUAGUUUUCUCAGUGAAGAGUGAAUAGUAGUACUCAGCUCACAGAGCAGUGGUGAAGACUUGCUGAGCUAAGGACACGUGUUCAGGCCACUCCUCAGUUAAACCUAUGGAAACCCACUCAUAGAUGGCCAAAGGAACACUCCACACUGCAGGGGAACUCCAUGCCUCUCAGGCCUUUAUGAGUCCCACAGUCAUCCUGGUGCCCACCUCUCUCAAGGGAAACAUGGAUCAACUGACUUGUUCUCAACUGAAACAACAUGGAUAGAGCUCAGAACGCUCCUCAAAUCACUCAUUGAGGGAACAUCACUUUGGUUCAGACCCAGCGCCACAUCUGUAGGGAAGGCGUUGCUUCAUUUAGCAGGGCUUGAACUAACAUCCACCCACCUCAAAUGUCCAUUGGAGAUGCUUGUGAGACCGGGAAAGCCAGGUACUGGUUGGGUACCCAUGCAUGCAUUGGGCAGCAGGCAGUGA
rnacentral:lncRNA from 1 species